rnacentral:lncRNA from 1 species
UGACGGCUGUGAUAUAAUAGUUAAAGACACGAUUCCGACGCAUUUUCAAAUAGAGUUUAAUUCUGAGAAGCAGGCAUUCCUCAGAUGUUUCAAACCAGUUACUCUCGAUGGACAAGUCGUCAGCGGUGUGGCCCUUCUUCCCGAUGUUGCGGUCAUAUUAAUAAAUGGAAAAGAAUUCCAAUUUCUAUAACAGGUUCAGCGAACAGAGAAAAGGAUAAAACCGGUGGAGGAAGCUCUGAGGUUCGUUUUAGGACAACAUGAUCCUGAAGAUAUGCGAAAAAUAUAUCAACGAUUUUAUAGGUAAACUAGUUAAUGAAAACCUUUAUAAAUAGCUCUUUCAUUCUAUAGUAGUUUAUUGAUAACGAUACAGUAGUAAAUAGUAAAACAUUGAUAUCUUCGAAAACACCUUUUUUUUCUGUAACAUCACUUUCUUUUAUGCUGCACGAGCUAGAUCGAAGAUUUAGUAUGCCUUAUUUCGAUUGUCUCAGACCCAGAGAAUAGAUACUACUCGCAGCCUUCAUGGUAAUUGAGGUGAUAGCCAGUUUAUCAGCAUGUAAUCAAUAAAAAGCAAUAAAUCACAUGUAACUGCUGAUAAGCUAAGGCUAGAAUUUCAUUAACACAGAAUUUAAUCUAAAAACACGUUUUAGUGUAUUCUAUUUUUCUUUCUGAACAUCCUUUAUAAUUUACAAGCAAAAUGGUCUUUAAGAUGUCUUUUUAUAUAACAUUUAUUUGAUAAUGAAUGCAGUGCAAAUCUACAUUUUUGUUUUUGUGAAAGGUGAUACUAAUGUUUAGCAGUAACCAUUCUACUGCUACAGAUAAACUAGACGGCAGCAAGCAUCUGUCAGAGAUAAUUAGAUAGCUGCUGUGCUUAAUGACCAUUUUAUCGGUCUCUCGUCAGUAAAUCAAAUGCAUCAUUUAAUAUGUAUAACAAUAUCCAGCUUAUCAAAACUACUAAUUAAAAGACGUUGCAACAAAAUAAUCUACUCUGAAAACAUUUUAUAGUUUGAGAUAAUAUAAGAAUCGUUGAUUUCAUCUUUCAGCCGCUAUAAAUUGCAGUAAAUAAAAACAGGAAUAGGAGUAUUUCUUCACUACCUGCCUAAGUAAAGCAAUUUAUUUUUAACGUAUAUGAAAUACACUAUGUUCACUUUUUAUGUCUCAGGUCGAGGUGUUUUUGCCAAAAAAAAAAUAUCAGAAAUGGAAAAUUCCUUGCGGAAUACCGUGGCGUUUUAUCCAAAGCUGACGACGUGAAGGACAAAGAUACAAACUACACAUAUUUCUUUGACUUUAAUGGUGUCAAGUACUGCAUUGAUGCCUCAGAGGUACUAAAACUGUAUCAACCAUCGUUAGGACGGCUAGUAAAUCAUGCAGACAACAAACAACAGAGAAAUUCAAGAAUAACAGUCAUUGGUGUGAAUGGGGUUCCUCAUCUUGUACUGUUUGCGACUAGAUUUGACUUGUAAUGAAAACUGCGACGAUGAGCCAGUUCAGUCUCCUGUAGAAUGCAGAGCGUGUGAAUACCAAAGGAAGGUCUGUAGUUCGAUUGGUCAUGAGAACAACAACAGUGGUGUAACAUCGGCUUCCAAACGCAAAGCAGAAUUUCCAGUACAAACAGGCAAAAAGAUCAAGGUCGUUCCUUGGACAGAGAAGCAGUUAGCGGCCAUGCGAAGGCCAUUCGCCAAAAAUAUCCGCUGCUUAAGAGUUCCUAACAAGGAGGAAUGCGGACGAGCAAGGAAAAAUGAGAGCCUGUUGCUUUCUCGUGACUGGAAGAACAUCAAAUUCCGUGACCAUCAUGAAAUACAAAGAUUAAAGAAAAAAAAAGUUAACAGAAAAAGAAACAUUCGUUAAACUUGCAAUGAAAUCUAACAGACAUAUAUUUUCAAAAUGUAAAAAUGUUUAUGUGUGUUUUUUUUUACAUAAAGUCCCCAGACACUCGUUCAUGUACAGUAUUGUUUUUGCUGGAUGUUCAUGUUAAGAGGUCAUGAAAUAUCGACAAAUUACUAUCACGGGUUUGUUCAUGACAAAAAUAAUAAAUUGACUGAAAUAAAAGUAUUGUAGUUCUUCAAUUGAGGUUGUCGUUCUUAAUGAAAGCUAAAGAUUUAUCCAUUCUUCUAAGUUAUACCUCUCAAACAAUUCAUUCUUGCAGAAUUUGUACAGAACUUCUGUUUAAGUUUAGUCCAUUAUCAUUCAUUUUCAUUUAUUUACGAUAAAUACGUGUUCGCGGUCCGAAUACAUCUAUUCAUCCUUUGCACUGUGUUUUCUACCCAGGUGCCCGCU